rnacentral:sRNA from 1 species
GCCGGGUGUGGCGGUGGACGCCUGUAGUCCCAGCUACUUGGGAGGCUGAGGCAGGAGAAUUGCUUGAACCUGGGAGGCAGAGGUUGCAGUGAGCCGAGAUUGGGCCACUGCACUCCAGCCUAGGAGACACAGCAAGACUCUGUCUCAA